rnacentral:sRNA from 1 species
AAAUACUUGAAUGACUUGUUGGGUUAGUUCCCAGCCUCUAGCCUACUUAUCAUGACAGAUUUCAGAUUUGUCACUCGGUUCCAUACAUUUUUAGUAUGCAUGAUGAGAGCAGUGCAUACUAAAUUCAGUAGAUGUUGAGUUAGUGGCUUAGUGCCCCAUUUAGCUAAACGUGUUAACUCUGAAAGUGGAGCAUUGAGUUCUCCAUUGAGUAUAGGUCACUUUCCCUACUUUUUGAAAUUUUGGAUUACAGUAUUAAGACAUGAAGAAAAGUAUCUUGUGUAUACACGAUUGACAAAAUUUUCAUGGUUUUAUCUACAAUUUAGCCAGUUUUGAAUAUUGGCUGUUCCUUC